rnacentral:rRNA from 6 species
AAAUUGAAGAGUUUGAUCAUGGCUCAGAUUGAACGCUGGCGGCAGGCCUAACACAUGCAAGUCGAACGGUAACAGGAAGCAGCUUGCUGCUUCGCUGACGAGUGGCGGACGGGUGAGUAAUGUCUGGGAAACUGCCUGAUGGAGGGGGAUAACUACUGGAAACGGUGGCUAAUACCGCAUAACGUCGCAAGACCAAAGAGGGGGACCUUCGGGCCUCUUGCCAUCAGAUGUGCCCAGA